rnacentral:rRNA from 1 species
CAUAAGUAACGAUAAAGCGGGUGAAAAGCCCGCUCGCCGGAAGACCAAGGGUUCCUGUCCAACGUUAAUCGGGGCAGGGUGAGUCGACCCCUAAGGCGAGGCCGAAAGGCGUAGUCGAUGGGAAACAUCAAACAAAAACAAAUGCGUAACGGAACUUUACGAAACAUAGACACUCUAACCUGUUGCUUGCUCAUAGUGCGGCUUAUGGAGUGGCGUUUCGAAAGCGCGUGGAAAUUUGGUUUGGGGAGACAUUAC